GAUCUAUUGGUUGAACAACUCAAUUUCUUGGAUGCUAGUUAUUAUCCAUGGUCUCUGCUGCGCACAGUGGUAAAGUCCUACACAACUGCAGUUCUAAAAACUGACAUCUAUAAGGACCUAUCAAAAAUUAGUUUAUUUUUCAUUAUUUUUAGAUAUUAAAAUCCUUUCAUCUCCAGUAUCUGCCUUUUAGCCAUUUCUCUAGCACAGAGUCUGGAAUAUAAUUGGAACCCUAUAAAUAUCUGUUGGAUAAAAGAACAUUGUUAAUUUCCCUCAGAAAGUCACACCAUCAUAGGAGAUUUAGCAAUCAUUAUUGACAAAAGAAUCAAAACUCAUGGCUCCUUUUAUUUACCCCACACUCUUUUGGUCAUGCUUGUCCUCAACACAUUGAGGGAGAAUAAACCAAGUCCGGAGAUGCAGCAAGGCCAGGGAGCAGGGUCUUGUGAACUCUGCUAAGGAGUUUGGGCUGAUAUCUAGGAGUCAUGGAGAGCUUCAGACCUGGAGGGUGUUAAGCAAGGAAGCUUAAGAAGGUCAGGAAGCAAGGAAGGUCAGAAUUGUGGUGGUUGAGAGAGGCCACUCGGGGUCUGUAUGAAGGAUGGAUGGAUGGAUGGAUGGAUGGAUGGAUGGAUGGAUGGAUGGAUGGAUGGAUGAAUGGGGUAGAGAGACACUGGUUAAAUAGCUACUGAAAGGUCCGAUGCAGUUGCUCAUGUCUAUAAUCCAAGCACUUUGGGAGCCCAAGAUGGGAGGAUCACUUGAGCCCAGGAGUUUGAGACCAGCCUGGGCAACAUAGCGACAUUCCAUCUCUACAAAAAAACAAACAAAAAUUAGCCAGGUGUGGUGGUGCACACCUGUAGUCCUAGCUACUUGGGAGGCUGAAGCAGGAGAAUCACUUGGGCCUAGGAGUUUGAGGUUAUGGUAUGCUGGGAUCAUGCCACUGCACUCCAGCAUGGGCAACAUAAUGAGACUGUCUCUCAAAAAAAAAAAAAAAAUACUGAAAUCCAAGUAAAAAGGAGAUGGUGGUCUAAACCAAGAUAAUGGCAGAGGAGAUGGAGAGAACAGAUUCAAUAGACCUUUGUAAGGCUGAGCUGAAAGAACCGAGUGACUGACUGCAGGUGAUUUAGCAAGAAGGAAGCCAAUUUUAGACAUAUUAGAUUUGAGGCUUUUCACCUAUAGAAGAUUCUAGCAAAAGCAUGCUAGUUGCAAUUUAAGAUAUAGAUCUGAAGGUCAAAAAAGAAUUAGGAUGGAAAUAUACCUUUUUGGAUUUUAUUCCAGAUCAGUAUUUUAUUUUUUUUACAUAUAUUGAAAUCUCAAGGUAAAAAGUUGAAUACAGUUAAGACCAAAGGCUUAUUCUUAGAUUUCUGAGCUUGAAAUAUACUAUUGCCUAUUAGAAAACCAAAUGGCUAUAAAAGGUAUUUAUAUUUUCUUUAGAUAUUUAGACACUUAAUACCAUCUUCAGCAUUAGAGUUAUUUAAUGGGUUAGGAAUAAAAAUGCAUGAUCUUUGACUUUCUUCUCUGGGUGAAGUACAUUUAGAAGACUGCUCCUAUUGGUUCUAUAAAUAUGCCAGGGGAGCUCAUGUAAGAAUAGGUACUUCUCAAUAUGCCAGCAUUCAUGCCCAUGUAGUAAUUAGUAGUUUAGGUGGAUAAACUCCAAUGUAUCUGGUGGGCUCUGACACACUCUCCUGAAUACCGCCCUCCUUUUGCAUCCUCAAAUGGCAUGGCACACCCCAUAGUCUUAGUCCACCAGACAAAUCCUCUAAGUGCCCCUCUUCAUAUUUGUGAAAGGAAGGUAUUUUUUUUAAAACAUUUGGUGAAGCUGCUUAUAGUUGUAGUUGGGAAAGUGGGCUUACUAGCUAUAUGAUCUUGAGCAAGUUAUUAUUUCAUCUUUUUGACCUUGGUUGCCUCAUCUGAAAAAUAGAAAUGGUAACAGUACUUACCUCUUGGAUUUAUGAAUUUUAGUUAUGCAAAAGUACUUCAGAGCAGUGCCUGCGGCAUAUUGUGUGUACUCAAUCAGUAUCUGUUAUUACUAAAUACUUCUGUUGAAGACAAAAUUUUCUUUCUCUUAAGCUCAACAUCACUACUGAUGGAAAAUCUUGGAAAUAAUUAUUUCAGAUCAGGUUUUCCAACCAGGAACAGGAUUUCAUAUUUGAGAUAUAACAUCUAAUGCUAGCCCCUCUCUGAGAACUCCUAGGGGAUCUGAAAAAGGUCAUUGUAGGAUGGAAUCUUACUAAGCAAAGUUAAGAAUGAUAAGGUAAACUGUUAGGAAAAGGAUUUCCAUAUGACUAGGGGAUUAGGGCCACAGCAGCAAGAGUUAAUAUCUGAAGUUUACUGAAGUAACAGUUCUACAGCCCUAACUGGCAUGUACCCAUCAAAAAUGUGGAGAUGUAAGAGAGUUUAAAAAUAAAAGCAUAAAUUAAAUUUAAGUAGUGAG
rnacentral:lncRNA from 1 species